rnacentral:rRNA from 1 species
GACGUAGGGCGCGAGCGUUGUCCGGAUUUAUUGGGCGUAAAGAGCUCGUAGGCGGCUUGUUGCGUCAGCUGUGAAAACCCGCAGCUCAACUGUGGGCUUGCAGCUGAUACGGGCAGGCUUGAGUUCGGUAGGGGAGACUGGAAUUCCUGGUGUAGCGGUGAAAUGCGCAGAUAUCAGGAAGAACACCCGUGGCGAAAGCGGCUCUCUGGGACGGUACUGACGCUGAGACGCGAAAGCGUGGGGAGCGAACAGG